UUAUAUUUUAUAGAGAUUAAAUAGAAUUCCUUAAUAUAAGUAACUGGACUGUAUUAAAACAAUGUUGUUUUGAGCAAAGUAUGUUUUGUCAUUAUGGUAUUUGGAUACAUAAAGAUACAUAAAGAUACUAUAUGGAUGAAAGGAGCAUUUGCUUUAUAAGUUGGAAAAUUAUAUGCAGUUGAAUUAUUAGCUAAUUCUAGAGAAGGAAUAUUAUAUAUAAUUAGUUCUUGAAAUUUCGAACUCAGACUUAUGGAAGACAUGCAAAGGUCUUGAUGGCCAAUACUAAGCCAAAAGAAUAUCGAGUUGAUAAGUGGAUAGUAUUAAUGAAAAGAUGGUCGAUUUUGCUCUCAUGUAUUCAAGAAGCAGCAAUUGAAUGUUGUCUUAGAUGCUAGAUAAUGAGGAAUUAAAAAUUAUUAGAACAUUUUUAUUGGGAUUUCAAUAAAGUAAUAUGUAAGAGAGACUUUUAAAGUAAAAUAAACAAUUUUUACUGUCUUUUUUUUUCUGUAACAGUUCUAUUAAUGGGUUACUGUCACAAACUGUGGAGGAGCUUUUAUACUUUUGCUGGAGGUGUGCUUUUUGAUAAAUAAAAUUAUGUCAGUAAUUCGUGAUGAAUGUCAAUUUUCCCGAGAAAAUAGUUUGAAAAAAAUUUUCUCAGUUUUUCAUAUAUAGAACUUGAGCUCAUAUAUGUAGUUUGGGGCCGCUUAUGUAAUUUUAGGGGCUGAUGGUAAUAGAGGAAAUGU